AUGUAUCAAUCUAAUCAAGCAAGAAUUAAGAAGGAAAUCCCUUCCCUCUUGCCCGGCCGUGGGCAAAAAGGCCCCCGGCCGGCCCUCUCGCGCCCUCCUUCUAGCAGCGGCAUAACAGUUCUUCAACUAGGGCUGGCCAUUUCUCUUGAUACCGACUCCCCCCCUGAAGCAGUUCGUGUGAAUGAGAUAAAUCUGCAAGUUGAUGUCAAUAGCCGGCCGUACAACAAAGACACUAUCAAGUUUCUAACCAAUCAAAAACAUAAUCUUGACGCCCACAACACUGGUGGGGUCCCUCCUGCACAGCUAGCGGAUUGGUUACUGAAUGAGUUUGAUAGGUUUUAUGACCGGGAGGUGACCUGGGUUUUCUUCCAGGGAGAUUAUGAUGUCGCCUUUCUGUUAAAUCUGGUCGGAAAUUUCAUGCCAGCUACCCUGGUUGAACAUAUGAGGAGGUAUACCUGCUCUCUACCUCAACUCUAUGAUGUUCGGGUAUUGUCGAGGAUUCUAUUUGGUAAAGAUGCAGGCAGUCUUGACUGGCUGGCAGAUAAGAUCAACGUGCAGCGGACCGGCAACAGGCACUCAAGUGGAUCGGAUGCCCUCCUUACACUGGACUGUUUUUUUUAG
rnacentral:rRNA from 1 species